AUGGGUCUCAUACAAUGGCAGUAUGUCGGUCUCCAAAACCGAUCAUUGUGGUUCGAAUCCACAGGCCCGUGCCA
rnacentral:tRNA from 1 species